UCGCAACCCACCAUUCGAACGUCGCUGCUACUUGCUACCAUCUGAAUGUCGCCGAACGCCACUGCUAUCUGCUAGCAUCUGAACGUCGUUGGAGGCCGCCACUCCUUUGCUCACCAAACUCGUCGUAAGUGCUCCAUUCGUUGCAGCUCACCCUAAGUUCACUCGUGAGGGAUUAAUAUCAAGCUAGUGGAUGAAUACUUAUUGGAUCUUGAAAGGAGAUUUAAAGGAAGAGAAGGCUAUUGAUCGUGGAAUUCUUUCCUUGCUCCAACCUGCAACUUUGGUUCGAACUUUUGGACAAAGGAACCAUGUUUGCUUGAACGAGGGUCCAUCAUUGUUCCUCCAUACUGUCCUCCCUAGAAAAUGAAAACCCACCUAAUCCCCCUUGAAACUCCUUGCUCUAUCAUCGUCUAUUUUCGUGGAUUGUUUUAUGAUGUUAACAAUGACCCAGAAGGUGGUUAUUACAUAAGGUGCAUGUUGGUUAUGUCAUUAUUAGUUUUUUACAUUCCUAGAAUAGAACAGGGUUGAAUACAACACUAAUAGGGUAUAGAAGUUUGACUUUGUUGUGUUUUGACAAUUUAAUUGAACCUACAGAGGUGCAAGAGCAGUUGUGUGGGAGAACUUGAAAAACAAUCCUCUCUUUAAUAUCUUUACCGACCAUCCAACGACGUAUUAUGAAGAUAUGCACAGGGAAAUAUUUUGUUUAUGUCCUCUUGGACAUCUCUAUCGACCAUCCAACGACAUAUUAUGAAGAUAGCUAUUAUUAUUGAUUUAGAACAUGCCACAUAUAGUAAAUUUUAGCUAACUAUAUUGGAUUGAAAUUGUGUAAUUGUUGAUGACAUUGUUGAGAUUAAUGAAAUUAUUGUUGGUUUA